rnacentral:misc_RNA from 1 species
GCUAAUUUAGAGAUAAUUUUGACCUAUAAAGUUUUCAUGAACAACAAUUUUGAAAAUCCAGGGUUUAUUAAAACAACUUGCCUUGAUAAAAUGGGCAAAUAUUUAGUAUCAAGUACCAAUCAUAUCCAGUUUGGAUAGUUGAGGCUAUCCUCCAGUUCAUGCCAUAUAGAUAUUAUAUUUAAGAGGACUUUCUUUUUUUUUUUUUUUUCGAAGAAGGGGGGGCAGAAGUGUUUUUAACAACUGAAGUAAGAGUUUCCAAAGGGGAUCCACAACAACCUAAAAGAUCCUUGUUCAAAGUGCAUAAAUGAGGCCAAACUAUUUAUCAACCAUCUUAAUAAGACAACUAAUAUCAUUUACAGAAUUGAGAUCUAAUAAAAUGUAGUCCUACUUAUUAGUUGGCCAAUAAGUAUGUCAGAAACACACAGGUAUGGUAGA